rnacentral:lncRNA from 10 species
ACUACCACAGAGGUCAAGUGCUAUUUUCAUCAAGUCUUAUCAAAGGCUUAACAACUGCUUGAGGUAUGGAUAUUUGGCAGGAGCCACUCUUUUAGGAGGAGCCACCAACUUGGACCAUGAGUAGGAAGACCAUGCCUGAGGGAAAACAAAGGAGGCUCAUUCCAGGAAGAUUUCAUCAAGCCCACACAAUCGCCAUGGUACUGUGCCACGAAAUUCCAGCCUCCUUCACCUCUCUGAACUCUGGUGUGUGUGUCUUUAAUUCGGUGAGAUCAAUGGGAUCUUCCUGUGUUUGCCCUCCCAUAGAAGGCACCAUGUUUUGUAAUGUGUCUUCAUGAAAAAAGCCGUGAUGAUAUCAGUCUCAGUCUCAGUCUCUGCUUUUUUCCCUUCUGUCUCUCUCUCCUUUUUUUUUUUUUUUUUUUUUUUAGACGGAGUUUCACUCUUGUUGCCCAGGCUGGAGUGCAAUGGUGCGAUCUCGGCUCACCACAAUCUCCGCCUCCUGGGUUCAAGCGAUUCUCAUGCCUCAGCCUUCCAAAUAGCUGGGAUUACAGGAGUGCGCCA